ACAAAGGUGCCAAAAUCAGUGCCCGAGACAAGCUGCUCAGCACAGCGCUGCACGUGUGGUUUGCCGGAUCACACAGUGCCGAGGUGAAGGCCACGUCAGGAGCGUGUGUGGAGGGGGAUGGAGGGAGUAGGCAAUGGGGCCUCACUAACCUGAGGUCGAUGAGAGGAAAAGUCAAAAGGACAUGCCCUGUAAAUGUGUAAAUGUGUAUUGUGUUGUACGCAUAUUUUAUAUUCCUAAUAAAUGCAAACUAAUUCUC
rnacentral:lncRNA from 1 species